UAAUGUACAUUUCACGCCCGGCCUCAC
rnacentral:piRNA from 1 species